UUAACCCUUUAACCCCUGGGACAUUAUUUCAGGUAAACAUUCUGCUGUGAAUUUGCAUCUGUAAAAGUGUCAUGAAAGCUGCUGUAAGUAUGUGCUUGUGUUCCUUUUCUUCAGUGGUUUUGCUUUACAG